GAAAGGUCUUAAAUAAAAGAAAUGUGCUUAUAUUAUAUUUCAAUCUUCUAAUUGGCCUGAAUCUAGAUAAAUUGGUAAUAAAUUCAGCAGAGACUACUAAAUGUCUGAUAUCAAUGUUAAUGAAGUGUUGUACAUUUUUCUACUUUCGGUGUUGGGAGCAAUUAAUAGGAAUAAACUUCAUUUUCUAAAGAGAUAACUUUUAUAUUAGCCACUGAUAUGAGGAUUCAUUCCUGAAAUAUUUAAUCAACACAAUACACAAUCUGUAUCACAAAUAACUUCAUUAGCCAGAUGGAAUACAUGUAUUAAAGCAAGAAAAUUUUAUAUCACUUUUUAUUUGAGCAAAAAAUUAUAACAAAAAUCUAUUGCUUCUUCAGCAUAAGUUAAUAAUCUGAUACAUAUAAAAGAUGUUAUCAAUGACGCAGAAUAUCAAUUCCAAUUUCUUAAUUUCAUUUCACCACUUUCCAACAAACAAAAUUUAUACUGAUAUACCCUGUAUUUUACAAUUUAUAAUUUCUCUUUCAUUAGUAUUUUAUUAGAUAAAAUUAUGUACUUUUUUACUUGUAAUCUGACAGCAAAUCUAUAUCUUUUUACAGUAUAAACAGCCUUUUUUUGCAUAAUCAAUAUGUCUUCAUCUAUAAAUACGAUAAGGCAUAUUUCAAGCAGAAAAUGUUUAUAAUGCAGGCAAUGGCUUAUUUAUACAUGUUAUAUAUAAGCAAUUACAUGUGUCAGGCCUAAAAUUUCUGCAGAGCAAAACUAUAAUUUUCUGAUUUCUACCCACCUUAAUUUGCAAUGAAAAGAGUAUAAAAUACUGAUUUCCUUACACAGAUUUUUGCAUUUAAAUUAUCUAAUUGUUGCAAUGGAAUAUAUAAUUUAUAAUUGUUGCAAUGAAAAAGUUUAAAUUUCUUAUGAUCUCCUUUUUUCUUUACUGCAAUUCGAUGGAAAAGUUUGAAUUUCUUAUUCACCUCCGAAAUUUCUGCAAUGAAACGGUAUAAAGAUAUGAAUCUUAUCCCCUUCCUGAUUUUUCUGAUUUCUUCCCUACAUUAACUGAUUUUAUUUCUGCUACAUCUAUAUUUGAAUGAGUUCAAUUUUGUGAAAUCUUUAGAAUAUACUGGCCUUUAAUUAUGUGCAUAUUUUUAUUAUAAAAUAGAAAUGAUGACAAUAUUACAACAACCUACAAUAAAAUAUGCAAAAAUAACAAGUGUACAGACAAUUGACUAGAUGUAUGGAAGAAUUUCAAUUGUAACCAAAAAUAGAUAUGGGAAGAUGUGGUAUUAGUGCCAAUGAGACAACUCUCCAUCCAAGUCACAAUUAUAUUAAGGCAAAUUAACAGUAAUAGAUGAUGUUUCAUAUUCUGAUCCACUUGACAUACAAAUUUCUUCAUGUUAAAAUUUAAGUAACAAAAUAAAGCAGUUAUCUAUUUUAUUUUGUUUUCUGAUAUACCUCUGAAUGAAUAUUCUCAAAAUAAGCAAAUGAAAUAGAUACAACAAGUUCAAAUUACUUAAAUUUGCAGGACAUUCAUUUUUAACUGUUUCUUAACCUUAACUGGACAUGAAUAGAAAUAAUUUUACAGUUCAAAUCUGCUUUGAUACUAAAUAUUUCCAAAAAAUCUCAUUCAAAUAUUAAUUUUAAUAUUGAAAUUGGGAAAACAUGUACCUUUUUUUUCCUAAAAAUUAGAUAACAUUUUCGUUUAAAAAUCCUCUUUGCAUUGAUAACAGAUAAACAAUUAAUAAAGUUGACGUUUGCAUUGGAUAUUGCUACAAAAGUAUAUAAAAAAUAUGAAAAACAAAUUAAAAAUGCAAAUGAGACAUUUAAAUGAUAACAUUGUAUGAAAAAACAAAAUGCAUUCAGUUACUGUGAAAAUAUCGCAAAUAUGUAAAAAUAUGAUGUGGCAAAAAUAGCAAAACAAAUAAUACAUUCUGACCUAUAUUAUGACAAGUCAAUUACAACAAGUUAACAACACUUCUGUGACAAUUAAUACAAUGUUAUGUCGGCUGUUCCAUAAAAAACAAGUAAAUACAAUGUUAUGUCGGCUGUUCCAUAAAAAACAAGUAAAUACAAUGUUUGCGGCUGUUCCAUAAAAAACAAGUAAAUACAAUGUUAUGUGGGCUGUUCCAUAAAAAACAAGUAAAUACAAUGUUAUGUGGCCUGUUCCAUAAAAAACCAGUAAAUACAAUGUUAUGUCGGCUGUUCCAUAAAAAAAGUAAAUACAAUGUUAUGUCGGCUGUUCCAUAAAAAAACAAGUAAAACAAUGUUAUGUCGGCUGUUCCAAAAAAAACAGUAAACAAUUUAUGUCGGCUGUUCCAUAAAAAACAAGUAAAUACAAUGUUAUGUCGGCUGUUCAUAAAAAAACAAGUAAAUACAAUGUUAUGUCGGCUGUUCCAUAAAAAACAAGUAAAUACAAUGUUAUGUCGGCUGUUCCAUAAAAAAACAAGUAAAUACAAUGUUAUGUCGGCUGUUCCAUAAAAAACAAGUAAAUACAAUGUUAUGUGGGCUGUUCCAUAAAAACAGGCAAAGCAGAUAGAAACAACUCUCCCAAACAGACAACACAGAAAAGUUCCUCCUAUACUGGCCGACAGUAAAGGCCCUCCUAAAUGGAGCAGACGGAAAACGCCCUUCAAAACUGAUCCUGUGAUCACUAAAGUACCAGGAUGUAACUAACUUAUUACCGAAUUAGUUGUGCAAAUUUUGGAUUUCAUCAGCAAACUAAGAUAUAAAACUAUGGAGAAGCAGAAUGAUUGUAAGGGAGACAACUAUACACUACAGUUCUAGUGGAUUAGACCAUUCAUAACUUCUUUACAAGAUGUCAAUAUAUCUAAUUUUUGUACUAAAUUGACAAGCUGAUGAAAAUAGUUAAAUCAAGUUAAAAAGGCGAUAGUCUGCAAAAAAGCAUCAUUCCAUUCAGAAACAUUAUUCAGACUCAGAACUGAAAUUUUUGUGCUCUUAAUCUAAAAUGGUGCAUGUCAGACCUAAAAUCUUUUUUAAAGUUACUUGCAAUUUUAAAGUCUGCUUUGACCUAUUCAGGAAUUUAGUCAAAAUCCUCCCACACAUGCUACCAUUAAACCAUGGGGGUUGUCUUGAAAAUGUCUGUACCAAGUCAGGAAUAUGACAGUUGUCCAUUUGUUUAAUGUGUUUUGUCAUUUGAUUUUGCCAUUUGAUUAGGGGCUUUCCAAUUGAAUUUUCCUCAGAGUUCAGUAUUUUUGUGAUUUUACCUUUUUCUUGACCAUUAAAAAUGUCUUUUUUACUACCUUAUAAUAUGUUUGAAUUGAACAGCCCUUAUUAUACACUAAAUCUAGAUCUCAUGAAUUCUUGUAGACCAAGUGAUCUUAGGUUUGCGUCAUAGCUUUCACUUUGUAGAGGGAAUAGCAUUCAGUAACCAUGAAGUACUAGUCAUCAAGACAUAAAAUAUGAAUAUGUAAAUUUAAUGUAACCAAAUAUUAAAUUAAUAUCUCUAAUCUAAUCAUUAAAAAUAAAGAUUUGCAUUAAACAUAAUUCAAGAUAAUAACCA
rnacentral:lncRNA from 1 species